rnacentral:sRNA from 1 species
AGAAAGUUGGCACCAUUAAGAAAAGAUGACAAAGUAUUUUUUGCUGUGCUAUUGCGUCUGCGUGAGUCUGUCUUUGGUUGUGGGUGGACAUGAUAAGAUAAUCUACGACAUCUCCACUCAGCCCAAAUGUAUAGAAGUGGUGAGACCAUAAACCUUAAAAUGUCAGUGGAAAAUUGGUCUCUACAACAACAUGGAUUACCUAAUGCUCACAGGGAAAAUAGCUGCCUACAAAAUCAUGUGGUUUAGUGGGGCAUGGUCCAGAUGGUUCGUGCCCGGAAUCAACGACCUCGACGGGAAAUUCAACAUCAACCCCGUCACCUGCGGAGAAUUUCCUCAGAAGGGCAACACAAUGAGAAGGAUGUGGUCAUACUUCUACGAUCACACGCACAAAUACAUCUUGUGUUCGCCAUGAUUUUAAGAUAUCUAACUAUCAAACUGCGCAUGACUUCGUAAAAUAGAUUUUGAUUCGAAAAAAAUUGUUUGAAACAUAUAGAAUGUAACUCAACUUAUUUUCUGUUUGCUGUAUUUUCUAAAUAAAAAGGCCUCUAUCAUCA